rnacentral:rRNA from 1 species
CCUACGGGAGGCAGCAGUGGGGAAUAUUGGGCAAUGGGCGCAAGCCUUACCCAGCAAUACCGCGUGAGUGAAGAAGGUCUUCGGAUUGUAAAGCUCUUUGAUCAGGGACGAACAGAUGACGGUACCUGAAGAACAAGCCCCGGCUAACUACGUGCCAGCAGCCGCGGUAAUACGGAGGAUGCGAGCGUUAUCCGGAUUUAUUGGGUUUAAAGGGUGCGCAGGCGGCACGGCAAGCCGGCGGUCAAAUCGCAGGGCUCAACCCCGCCCAGCCGCCGGAA